UGGGGAAUAUUGCACAAUGGGCGCAAGCCUGAUGCAGCCAUGCCGCGUGUAUGAAGAAGGCCUUCGGGUUGUAAAGUACUUUCAGCGAGGAGGAAGGCGGUAAGGUUAAUAACCUUAUCGAUUGACGUUACUCGCAGAAGAAGCACCGGCUAACUCCGUGCCAGCAGCCGCGGUACUACGGAGGGUGCAAGCGUUAAUCGGAAUUACUGGGCGUAAAGCGCACGCAGGCGGUCUGUCAAGUCGGAUGUGAAAUCCCCGGGCUCAACCUGGGAACUGCAUUCGAAACUGGCAGGCUAAAGUCUUGUAGAGGGGGGUAGAAUUCCAGGUGUAGCGGUGAAAUGCGUAGAGAUCUGGAGGAAUACCGGUGGCGAAGGCGGCCCCCUGGACAAAGACUGACGCUCAGGUGCGAAAGCGUGGGGAGCAAACA
rnacentral:rRNA from 1 species